UGUGUGUGUAAAUGAGGAUGAUAUAUGACAAAUUUUUCGGUGUUCCCAGGGUCUUGGUGGUGUGUGAAAGACCUCACUGGGUGGGUGGGGGGGUUGGGGGUUUGUCUGUGCCCAGCUGUUGGGGGGACCUGAAUCUCCUCUCUCUCUCUCUCUCUCUCUCUCUCUCUCUCUCUCUCUCUCUCUGUCUGUCUCUCUCUCUCCUCCUGACAGUUUGUCCUUUUGAGCAGCACAUACCCGGGCCGUCCUGCCUGUCACCAUAACAACGCCAAAACCCUUCUGUCAUAGGAACGCCAUGCAGUCAGACCUCUGCACAAGGGAGAGAGGGGGGCGUUUUGGGGGAGGAACGGCUGGCAUGAAUGGGCAGUCGAGACACUUCCACCCCUGUGAACUUGAACUUGACUGACAGUCUGAACGAGUGGCGGGAGAGAAUGGAAAUCAACUCCUCAGUGAUCUGGCAUUGAGGUUCACAUUGAUACUCUUUAAUUCUUCAUACAUUUGUGAGUAACAUCAGACUGAUGGAUUUGAUUCUGAGUUUAUAAGAGAAAAUUCACCUUCAUUUCAUUAUUUCUUGUCCAUUUAUGAUGCCACACAGUGGUUGAGUAGUUUACAUCAGGUUCAAUCCAUCUCUCUGCCUCGAUGUCUGUUUGUGACGUCCCUGUCUGCCGCAGCCUAAAGCCCCUAAAGGCGACUGGGACAUAUCAGGGGUCUCAGCCGCUCUGACUCAGUGGACCAUGGGGAAAAAGGACCUGUGAAAGGUCCCCUGUCGCUGUUACAAGCCGUGGCAGGAUAAUCGCAUGUAUCCCCAGAUUAAGACGGGAUGGCAGCUGUGGGGCUGAAGAGAAACGCACAAUGAUCCACCUUCAUGAGGCCUGCAGGUCCACACAGGGUCUGAGUCUGAGAUACGAGGCUGUUUGGAUUAUGCCAGUAGAUCUCAGUCUGAUUUUGGAGUUAUAUCUUAGUUUAUCUGUGAAUCUGUGAAACUUAAAGUGUGUGGGAGUGGUGCAGAUCAAGUAAAGAAACUCAUUAACAAACAUUUGAUUUAGUUGAGCUCGAUCAGUGAAACAGGAUCUUAUCGUCUAUGAUACUUUAUUAAAAGAGGGUUACAGGUCAUCUUCCUACUUUACAUUGCUUAAAGAUUAAAUUAGCAUGAAUAUUAAGAGAUAUUUUUGGAUUUUGGUGACUAAAAAAUUGGAAACUGAACAACUUUAAUUCAGAAAAUCACGUCCAUCCCUAAACAAAUGUGCCCUCUGCUGUGGCUUUUGGAUUUUUUUUCUUUCAUACAAUAACAGAGUAAUACCGAUACAUCUUUCAAAAUAACAGAAUUGGUCAUUAGCAUUACGCUCUCACUAAAAGCACCAAGGAGAAUUCAUAUGUGACACAGCGGCUGCAGUGUGAGACCACACACUCUUCACACACUAACUGUGAGAGGAUCACCCCCCCACCCCAGGCAUAAAGAGGCAGAGAGACAAAGGAACAACUUUUCCAGGAGACACUCUCAUGGCUGCAGACUUAAAUUUGCAUCUGCCUAUGUCUGGUGUGUGCGCGACGUUCCUAUCCCACAGCCCUCAGAGGUUCACUGCAGCCCCCUCUCUCACACACACACACACAUGGUCACACACACACACUUGGAGCUGGGAAAAGAGAGGUGGUGGACCUUUGUCAAGUGCUCCUUUCACAAAGCCGCCAUUGUGGAGUGAAUCCAGGAUCAGAAUGAUAAUUUGGACCCAUGUUUACUAACAGACUUUCCUGCUGCUGCUGCUGGAGAGCAAUGCAUCAACCCGCAGCAGCAGCGUACAACCACUGAUUCUCUGCACCGGGCUCUGCAUGUGUGCAGGUGCAUUUCAGCUGCAGGUCACUGUGUGUGUCCUUUAUCUGCUUGUUAAAUGGGUUGCGAAUAAAAGGCCGGUCUAUUCUUGAAGCAGUUGAGGAGUUUCUUAAGUUAUGUGGGAAAAAAAUUACAGUUUCCAUCUGCCUCAGUUUGUUGGACACUGUACGACAAAAUCCAUCACCUCUUAGACACCCCCCUCCACUCACACACACGCACACUAACAUUUGCUGUCUCUCGUUCAAACUCUCCUGUCUAACAAUAAUGAUAAUAAAAAAAUAAAAGAGCAAAUGUUUCUCACAAAAAAGGAAAAAGAGUUAAAUGGAUGUACUCCGUUUUUGAACUGGUUAUAAAGCAGAUUUUCACAGGUAUUCUGUGUUCCUGGGAUACUGUAUUUUCCUGUAUGAGCUCAUGUCAUCAGCAGCCUCACACCUGCCCCACCCCCAACUGAUUGUGUAAUUACAGCCUGUGUUUAAUAAAGGGACAGCUCCCCUUUUAUUUUCUGAGGCCAGACGCUUAGCAUUCAAAACCAGUAUAUAUGCGUGCAAAAAUGGCAAAAAUAAAACAAAAAAAAAGGAAAAUCCUUUUGUUAACACAGCAAGGAUUUAAUUCAGCGUGCAGUUUAUUCUGCCUGCUUUGAUUGAUUUGACUCUGUGUCAAUUAAAAUUGCUUUGUGCGAAUAUGAUGUUGUAUAAUCUUACAUUAGGAUGGCAAUGAAUCGGGCAAACCACUCGAAGAAAUGAGAGUAACAUGGGCCAGUUCCCAGGGAAAUAUUAAAGGUAUAAGUCACUUGAUGGGGAGGAUUUUGAUUUUCAAUUAAAACAUGUAUGUGUGAAUGUUUUUCAUAUAAAAGUGGCUAUCUUUACAAAAACGAAAAAGAAUAAAAAACAUAUUACUAUUGAAACAAUUUCACAAAACACAAUCUAAUUUACAGAAAUUCCUUUAAAUGGAUUUUCCAUAAUAAAUGAACACAAAAGAAAGUUUUGAGGAAAAAUCGUAAAUAACUUCAGGGGGCCAGGUUAGAAAUUCUCUCAGGACAGGUUGAGUGGGACUGGACUAAACUCUGCCUUACACUGCUGGUUAUUAUAGGAAGAAUUAUGGGAUUCAUAUAUCCACAUACAGAUCCCGUCAUUUUAGUAUUUUAAUGGCCUAAAGGGCAUCAUUUCGAAAACUGCAGGAACAGGUUCUACAUACAGAACCAUGAUGGAAAAACACAGUUUACGAAAAUAAAAUUAAUACAACAGUAAAAGGAGAUGAAAUGAAAGUGUACACAUUCUGCAUCCUCUUUCUGAUUAUGAGUCCACUUGAUUAUUCUGCUAACUGGCCGAUGAGCUUCUUGGUGCUGCUGCGCCUUUAAAUCCUCUCUGCUGCUGCUGCUCGUUUCUAUGCAAUUAUGUUAAUAUGCAGCCUGUCUGCCUCUAUUCAUUACUGCUGCACUUCUCUGAUCGUUUCCUUUAUUUUACAUCUUUACACCGACACUCGGGCUUUUCCCUCUCUCUCUCUCUCUCUCUCUCUCUCCCACAGUGAUGAUGGCGGGCAGAAACACGAAAAGACAGGUGCUGACUUUUGGAUAGAGAGACUUUGAUUUUGUAAGCAGCGUUUUUUUGUUUGUUGUUUCCGUCUACACUGCGGAGAAAACACUUCGCUCCGUCUGUGAGUACAUUAUCGACAAACUGGAGGCCUACACAUAAAGCGAUCGUACCACAGGCCGAAUUAGUUUUAUUUCCGUGAUGAACUGUAAAUCCACCUGAAACAUUUCAGACUUUAGUUCUCAUAUCAUCAGCACAUACUGUAUGUAGCCUAUUUACAAAAUAUGAGAGGACUCAAAGAGGAGUUGUAAUUGAUUUAAUUACUUAUUAGAGACGGGUUUCUCUUCAUUUUUUCCUCUUCAAGAGAUGGGUCUUUUACAGAAAUACUGGGCUUGUUUUGCAGACUGAGGCCUAAAUGACUGACAUCGUAUUUCUUCGUUUUCUCUUUUAUCUGAUAAUGUAUGAAAAUGGAAAAAAAUACAGAUUUUCUCUCAUAUUUGCUACAGGUAAAUUUGAUUCAUGUGUUAUUAGGCCUACAGCACAUCAAUGAUCAAUUACAAUAAGUUUAAUUGAUGGCCAAGUAUUGGUCAUUAACUCUAAACUCAAAAUAAAUAUAAGUCAUCAAAGUAGAUUUCCUAAAAGGACCAUAUUUAGGGCCUGACAAGGCUUAUUUAUCUAAGAUGUAUUUAAGUAAAUAAACACACAUUUUAAAGAAAAACUAUAGAAAAUGUCGUAAAACAGGCUGAAUAAAAAUAUAUAUUUAAUGGCGUUUUUGUAAGUGUAUAUUGAUAAUGCUGUAAGUUACUGUCAAAUCAGGUUUACACACACACACACACACACACACACACACACACACACACACGACUUUUUUUGGUGAAAGAAAAUUAACACAGAAGUAGAGAUUAAGACAAUGAGAAAACAAUCCCAGCUUUCACUAUUCAGUUAGUAAAAAAGUUAAUUUUUAAAUAAAAAAUUAACAAGAAAUGUAUUUAAAGGCAUAGAGAGGUAUUUCUUUAUUUACUCUUUUUUUAUUUCUAUGUCUUUAUUUCCUUCAAGUUUUCUGGAUUACCCUUUCAUGCUGUUUUCACAUAUAAUAGAUGUGUAACAUUAGUGGUUUUAGUCUUUUAUUCACCUCAGACUGCAAAUAAAUGUCUAAUCUUUUUUUAAAUGCAUACUGUUCAUGUACACACAUUAAUUAUUGAUCACUUUAUUGUUUAUUGAAGUUAUUAGUCUGUCAUGUCAAAAACCAUUUGAAUUUUAGAUCUAACUUUGGUUAUUAAGGCUUCAUGAUUUAGAGAUCGUCUGCCAAUGUUUGCAUGACCUCGAGCAGCUCAUUAGACUGGCUGAUGUGAGAUCAGUGGACUCUCAGGGGUGUUCAGCUGCUUUUAUCUUUCCAAAUGUCCUUGGAUCAUCUUUACGUGAAUCACUUAUAUUCAUCCAUUGCUUAAUGUAAAGUUGUCAUAAACUGUAUAUACACUGCCUGGCUGAUUGACCUGUAAAGAUGACAGUAAUAUGACCUUUACGAUAAGCUAGGAGAAGAUGUGAGAUCAGACAUUAGACAGGACAGAGCGGCUAAAAGACUGACUGAUUACAGUCAGGCAGAACGCUAACGAUCGAGCAAUUAAUACGGCUGCUUUGUGCCAACAACCAUUUUACAACCAAGCAGCAGGAGACUCAGCCAAGAUGGCCUCCAUAGAGACAACAUGAUGCUUAGACAGAGAAGAAGAAGACUGAGCUCCAACCUGAUCAGACUGAUAUGAGUUAAGAAAAGGCCUCUCUGUCUGAGUAAACACAGGAUGUAAAAUGCAGGUUAGAUCUGAGGAAAAUAUAUAACAGGAUUUUUCAUCACCAUUAUUAACAUUUUCAUUUUGUAUUUUAACCUCUGUAAAAUAACAGGUUACAGUAUGCUUUAAAUGUCACUAAAAAGCCUUUGUGUAAUCCAAAUUAAAAUGAUGUGUUUUAUGGAUGUGUUAAAACCUACAGAAAAAGAAGAGGUCAUGUAGAAUCCAGUGGAGCAUAAUAACAAGACAAAAGUAACAGUUAUGCAAAAAUAGAGAAAAUUAUAACUGUUUUUUUUUUCUACAAUAGAAAAGUAAAAUCUCCUUUGAAUCAAUUAUCUAAAAAAAUUAGGAUCUAAUGACCUCAUGGUGGUGUUUUUUGAUUCAGCUCAGGUAGGUGUUCUGCAGAUUAAAAUUGUAUCAUCUCAAUCAUUCAGAAAAACUGAAAAACAGUUAAUUUUGUUCUGUUUCUAAUGGGUUCAGGUUUGUUUGACAGAUUUUACAGUGAUGAGGCAACUACACUGAACUACGACUUUGGAGCAAAAUAAAAAACUCCCUAAAAAAGAAAGCAUCUUUUUUUAAACUUUCAUAACUUAGGUCCCAGCAGGACUUAGAAUAACAGGUCCAUGUAUUCAUCUUCAUUUGACAUGAUCACCCUCACAGCUUAUCUCAGUGAAUUCAGAACUCUGCUGCUCAAGUCCUCACUAAAACCAAGAGGAGCAGAUCACAUCAAUCCACUUCAGACGUCUUAACCACGGCUGCCUGGUUGUCAAAGAUCAGAUUUUAAAACACUGCUGCUGGUGUGUUAAGCAGUAAAUGAUUUAAAGCAAUUUCCUCAUUCACUUCAAACCAUCUAGCAAACUCAGGUCUUCUUGGACUAAUCCAAAGAGUUAGAACCAAAUGUGAAGGUGCAGUUUUCAUUUUUUAUGCUCCAGACAUCUGAAACAAACCUCCAGAAAAUGUAAGAUUUGCUGAAACAGUUUUUUUUUUUUUUUAAUCCAGGAUAAAGACUCACCUUUUUGUAGCUCUUUUACUCAAUUAUUUGUUAAAUCAUUAUAAUGCCUAUUUCAUUUAACAGCAUGUACCAUAACUUUUAGGCUUGUAUUAGAAACUUUCAUGUGCUAUAACCUUAUGUUUUUGAUGUUUUAAAUGUCAUUAUUGCUUUGAUUUUCUAAGUAUUUUCAUUACUUUUAAAUGUCUUCUGUUGUGAAUGAACCUCAGCCAUUUUUUCAUGUCUUGUGCGAGGCACUGUGAAUUGCUUUAGUGUCAAAAUGUACUUACAAAUAAACAUGUCUUGCCUUGUUACCUGAGGUCAUUGAUUGAUGACAAAACAAAGUUAAUCCCAUGGAAACGAUACACAAAACAGUGAGUAUUACUGUGUGUGUGUGUGUGUGUGUGUGUGUGCGUAAAAAACACCAUUAGGUAUUUGAGAAGUGGAAACUGAAUGAGAUAUUGAUGUAUACACCUCAUCUCGGGUGAUAUUUUCAAAGCAUUUUUAAUACACAAAGAUGCUAAAAUAAUAAAGACAUAAAAACUGUUUUGGUGCACAGUUGUCUAUAUCUUUUUUGUGACUAGAGAGGAAACCAAAAGUUAUUUUCAGUAAUAUGCGAUAACAUUUGUUUAAAAAAAAUAAAAAACAUUGUUCAAUACCCAAAUACAUUGCUUAAACUUCUUAUCAUGUCUGAACAAUGGACUAAAUACAAAGAUGUGUAAUUUAUUUUCACAAAAGAACAUUUUAAGAUACAUGAAGCUGAGACUGGUAAAAUAGGGAGCUAUUACUUUUUCUUCGCCAUAAAUCCACUGAUUACUAGUGCUGGGACAAUAACUUAUACUUUCUUAUACUUUAACAUUUAAAAAAAGAAAUUGACAAUAAUAAAAAGAUAAAAUAAAAAAUGUCUGUAACCCACCUGUUAAGAUGUGCCAUCCUCUGGUGUCUGCCUCUUCCUUGAAGGAAUCAGAGAGUUUGGAGUGCAUUCCUACUUUCGGUUAUCUAGCUUUAUGAUGGAUGAUUAACACUCAUACAGCUAGAUAACCAAAGACAGGAACAGGCUCCACUCUUUACUGUCACAGUCAAAUGUAAGUCUGUAGAUUCCUGUGAGUAAACAACAUUAUAUCUAUGAAUCUAAGCCUUUAACAGAUUUCACAUUCAGAAUUACAUUUGUAUUUUUGUAUCAUACCUGUGAGAAAAUUUGAAGAACAAGAAAAAGUGUUUUCUAUUGUGUGUUUUUCAAAAUUAAAUAAUAUGCAACAUUGUGAAUGUGACUGACAAUUUUGGACAUGUGCAGUAAGCUUUAAUCCUACCUCACUAAAUGAACAAGUCUGUAUGGAGUUCAGCCUGAACUGUAUGAGC
rnacentral:lncRNA from 1 species